GUUUAACUAUUUUGUUAAUAUAUGAACUUUAUUAAUAUUAAAAAAUAAAUAUUUGUACUAUGUAGGUAUUUUUAUUUUACAAGAUAAUAAUAUCUAAAAAAAUGUUUAAGUCCGGCUCUAGCCAUGGCAAAAGCCGCGUGGACCGUAGCGAGUGUCAGCGGCAUCCCUACUAUAAGCAAAUAUGCCGCGCCUGCCUUAGUAAACAUGCACCGAACUCGCUUAUUCAAACCAAUGUAUUUUUAAUGAAGUGCGACUGCUGGUUUCUUUAUGCUGUGACUGAGCGUUGAGGGAUUCUAUGCUCACUACUCUGACCUGCUGAGAAAUCAUUUAGGCGUUAACAAAUUGCUUCCUAUUACUCAGGUAACUGAUGGGAUCAAUACUAGAGGAAAUCUGAGAUGUCGACUUUUUUGUAAUUGAGCAAUAAAAAUUAUUAAAAGCAUUCACAUCGAUCUCAAAGCCACCAACCUGACCAAUAUGGAUAAAAAAAAUAAAUUCAAUCUAGAAAAUCCCAAUGAUGUCGAGUAUCUUUUAUCGGUCAUAGAUGAUGACAUGGUCAUAAAUUCAGAAGCUGAAGGUGAUUCAGACGCUGAUGACGAAUUGCCUCUAUCUACAUUUGCGAAUACUUAAACUCUAAUAUCUCUACUCUAAUACUAAAAAACAAUAAUAUUGUUUUAUGAUAAUUACCCAAUGAUAAGGGUUUAUUUGUUAUAAUAUAAAUGGAGAUUGGUUUUAUCUAUUAUUAGAAUAUAACAUGAUAUGAAAAAAGUCUGAUGAUAUACCAAAUAAUAUGUAUUUCUUUAAGAAUUCACUUUUUUAUUUACUGUUUUAA